UACGUAGGGCGCAAGCGUUGUCCGGAUUCACUGGGUGUAAAGGGUGCGUAGGCGGCGCGGUAAGUCGGGGUGUGAAAUCUCGGAGCUUAACUCCGAAACUGCAUUCGAUACUGCCCGUGCUUGAGGACUGGAGAGGAGACUGGAAUUUACGGUGUAGCGGUGAAAAUGCGUAGAUAUCGUAAGGAAGACCAGUGGCGAAAGGCGGGGUCUCUGGACAGUUCCUGACGCUGAGGCACGAAGGUCAGGGGAGCAAACGGG
rnacentral:rRNA from 1 species